GAAAAUGGUUGCUCUGAUGGGCGCGCACUUCUCCAAGCCUUUGGUAGGAGGCGUAGUCACUCAUCUCGUUUGCUAUAAAUUUGAAGGUGAGAAGUACGACCUUGCUAAAAAGGUGAAGAUCAAGCUUACUAAUCACCGGUGGUUGGAAGAUUGCUUAAAGUCAUGGGAAAUUCUUCCAGUAGAUGAUUACAGCAAG